UACGUAGGGGGCGAGCGUUGUCCGGAGUUACUGGGCGUAAAGCGCACGCAGGCGGUCUGCUAAGUUUGGAGUGACAGUUGGUGGCUUAACUGCCAAAGUGCUUCGAAAACUGACAGACUUGAGGGCUUCAGAGGGACACGGAAUUCCGGGUGGAGUGGUGAAAUGCGUAGAGAUCCGGAGGAACACCAAAGGCGAAGGCAGUGUCCUGGGGAGUACCUGACGCUCAGGUGCGAAAGCCAGGGGAGCGAACGGGAUUAGAGU
rnacentral:rRNA from 1 species